ACGAGCUACUCUGGCAUCUGCUCCUGCUGCCCAACUGUAUGGCAGGGCAAAAGUCCUGCUAUAGCACUUCUGGCUGCUCGAGGCAGUUCCAGGAGUUGGACUCUACAAUCUUUUUGGGUCUCUUACAACACAGCAUAUUCAAUGCUCCUAUGAUUCUAAGAACCGUGCCUGGACAGCAAGAGGGUCUGCAUAAGCCACUGAGGCAGCAAGAGGCAGAGCAUGCCUUUUCACGCUCCUACAGUCUCACUGUGAAGAAGAAUCUGAAGCAAAAUGCCUUCCAAAGAAUUGUUCAGGGGAAAAUGUUGCCAACCCUUCGCUAAACUCUAUGUACAUCUUAAUAAAUUAACUGAACAGCAGACCCAACUGUUAAAAACCUGUUACUACUAAUGGGUUCAGCUUCAGCACUACUAUUUAUGAUUUUAAAUCUGCACGUAAAUGCCAUUCAGUUGUGACAUCUCAAAUUGUUGAAGAAAGUGUUUAUAAUUUUUCCUGUUGAGGCGACGAAUACUGGCCAACAGCAAACACCACUGUAAUUCCUAAAAACAGCACUGCAAAUCCAAGAAUGAGCUCUACUACUAUUUGUUAAUUGCUGAGAGGAACUUGACUUCAUGUUACAAUGGCUACCCUGAAUCAAGAGUUUUAAAAGACUGUGUGCUACUAAAUGGCUGGUUUGGAAAGGAUAUUACCUGACUCAGAAAUUACAGCAGGAUGUUGGCAAGCAUUAAAUUCCCCGAGUAGGACUUCAGCAGACAAGCCAGAGUCUUUUCGACUCUCUCAGCAU
rnacentral:lncRNA from 1 species